CCAUUCUUUGAGUUGGCCAAUAGCAAUAGUACAACAAUGAUAUAAUAAGUAGUACAUCUAAAAUUUCCUAGUACAUACAUGUACUGCAAACUUGCAAAGUACAAACUAAUCCCCCUUUAUGCGAUUACAUAUAGAAUCAAACGGGAUCAUACAUUCAUUCAUUCAACAUAAUGCAUUUUAUGCAAAAUUUAACAACCCAAAUUUUACAAGAGUUUGAGAAGCUGCUGAAUACUAAGGGUGUUGACAAGCACGAGACAAAAGUGGUCGUUGCAGACAAAAUUGCCGUUGUGAUACCCUUAUGGAGAUCUCUAAGCUUAAUUUACAGCUUAUAGCAUAAGCGCUUAUCAUGAUAAUAAACUUGUAUAAGCUAUUUCUAUAACAAAAGAUAACAUAAAGUUAAAUUAUUUUUGUAUAAGCUAUAAGUUGUUUACAUAAACUAUUGAGAAGAGUUUAUGAAAAAUAAGCUCAAAACAACUUAUGAAUAUGUUAUAAGUUGUUUUCAUAAGUUAGUCCAAACAGUCUCACAAGUACAUAAACUGUUUUCAUAAGUUAGUCCAAACAGUAUCACAUGUGUUCAUGUCAGUAUAUAAACUCAAAUAUGUUGAUUCAAAUAGGCCCUAAAACAGUUAUAUUACAGUUGCAAUUACAUUUGCAGACAAUAA